rnacentral:rRNA from 1 species
AUUCCCCUAGUAACUGCGAGUGAAGCGGGAAAAGCUCAAAUUUAAAAUCUGGUGGCCUUUGGCCAUCCGAGUUUGUAAUUUAGAGAAGCGUCUUCCGCGCUGGGCCGUGCACAAGUCUCCUGGAAUGGAGCGUCAUAGAGGGUGAGAAUCCCGUCUUUGGCACGGACGCACCAGGGCUUCUGUGAUGCGCUCUCGAAGAGUCGAGUUGUUUGGGAAUGCAGCUCAAAAUGGGUGGUGAACUCCAUCUAAAGCUAAAUAUUGGCGAGAGACCGAUAGCGAACAAGUACCGUGAGGGAAAGAUGAAAAGCACUUUGGAAAGAGAGUGAAACAGUACGUGAAAUUGUUGAAAGGGAAACGCUUGAAGUCAGUCGCGUCGUCCGAGACUCAGCCUUGCCUCGGCUUGGCGUACUUCUCGGCCGACGGGUCAGCGUCAAUUUUGCCCCUUGGAUAAUGGCGAGGGAAAUGUGACACCUUUACGGGUGUGUUAUAGUCUCUCGUCGCAUGCAAGGGUCGGGAUUGAGGAACUCAGCACGCGCCCUCGGGCGUCGGGGUUUUUGCCCACGAUACGUGCUUAGGAUGUUGGCGUAAUGGCUUUAAACGACCCGUCUUGAAACACGGACCAAGGAGUCUAACAUGCCCGCGAGUGUUCGGGUGGAAAACCCGUGCGCGAAAUGAAAGUAAAAGUUGGGACCUCUGUCGUGGAGGGCACCGACGCCCGGACCAGACCUUCUGUGACGGAUCUGCGGUAGAGCGUGUAUGUUAGGACCCGAAAGAUGGUGAACUAUGCCUGAAUAGGGUGAAGCCAGAGGAAACUCUGGUGGAGGCUCGUAGCGAUUCUGACGUGCAAAUCGAUCGUCAAAUUUGGGUAUAGGGGCGAAAGAC